rnacentral:rRNA from 1 species
CAUGCAAGUCGAACGAGCUCUUAGGAGCUAGUGGCGGACGGGUGAGUAACACGUGAGAAUCUGCCUCAAGGUCGGGGACAACAGUUGGAAACGACUGCUAAUACCCGAUAUGCCUAAGGGUGAAAGAUUUAUUGCCUAGAGAAGAGCUCGCGUCCGAUUAGCUAGUUGGUAGAGUAAAAGCCUACCAAGGCGACGAUCGGUAGCUGGUCUGAGAGGAUGAGCAGCCACACUGGGACUGAGACACGGCCCAGACUCCUACGGGAGGCAGCAGUGGGGAAUUUUCCGCAAUGGGCGAAAGCCUGACGGAGCAAUACCGCGUGAGGGAGGGAGGCUUUUGGGUUGUAAACCUCUUUUGUCAGGGAAGAAAAUUUGACGGUACCUGAAGAAAAAGCAUCGGCUAACUCCGUGCCAGCAGCCGCGGUAAUACGGAGGAUGCAAGCGUUAUCCGGAAUAAUUGGGCGUAAAGGGUCCGCAGGUGGCCAUUCAAGUCUGCUGUCAAAGACCGUGGCUCAACCACGGAAAGGCAGUGGAAACUGUUUAGCUAGAGUACGGUAGGGGUAGAGGGAAUUCCCAGUGUAGCGGUGAAAUGCGUAGAUAUUGGGAAGAACACCGGUGGCGAAAGCGCUCUACUGGGCCGAAACUGACA